GUGAUGUUCCAGUUUUUUUGGGAAGAGUAGAUACUAUAAAAGGUUAAAUGCCAUUUUUUCACCCCGUACCUGCCCGAACCUCUGAGCUCCUCAAACCCUUACCUCCAUCACUAAGCCAAGCUCUGAUACCAGUAAGAAAGUCCCUAUCUUGCAACCUGCUAAAGAGUGCCCUCUUGUGUUGCAUGCACAUGAAAUAACCUUUUUUUUUUCUUUUUUCAUGAAGUGUUCUGCUUACACUGAACCUUAGGUUUUCUUUGGCAUUGCAGCCAAGAAAGAUAAAAGAUAAAUGAUGCUUUAGAACAAUUUUCUGGCUUUUAAUGCCAGCUAAGUAAAACUAUACCCCUAUAUUAAAGAG
rnacentral:lncRNA from 1 species